GCUCCAAUAGCGUAUAUUUAAGUUGUUGCAGUUAAAAAAGCUCGUAGUUGGAUUUCGGUUAAGAGCGACCGGUCCGCCGUUUGGUGUGCACUGGUUGGUUUUAACUUCCUGUAGAGGACGUGCUCUGGGCUUAACGGUCUGGACUCGGAGUCUACGUGGUUACUUUGAAAAAAUUAGAGUGUUCAAAGCGGGCUUACGCU
rnacentral:rRNA from 1 species